ensembl:snoRNA
UGGCCAUUUCCAAGUGGACAGGUGGAGCUCUUAAACUAUGACCAGAAACUGAUGUUCUCCAGAGGAUUCCAUAGUCACUCAACAGUGCUAUGGAUUCCUGAAAAGAUGUAGCC